rnacentral:tRNA from 1 species
GUUAGUGUAGCAAAACCCGGAACUGCAAGAGGCCUAAGCCCUUUUUAUAGAGGUUCAACUCCUCUCGCUAACU